rnacentral:rRNA from 1 species
GGACUACCCGGGUAUCUAAUCCUGUUUGCUCCCCUUGCUUUCGCGCCUCAGCGUCAGUUUUAGCCCAGAAAACCGUCUUCACCACCGGUGUUCUUCCACAUAUCUACGCAUUUCACCGCUACACGUGGAAUUCCGUUUUCCCUAACUACACUCUAGUUCGGGAGUUUCAAAUGCAGCUCCGGGGUUGAGCCCCGGAAUUUCACAUCUGACUUUCCAAACCGCCUACGCGCCCUUUACGCCCAGUAAUUCCGAUCAAUGCUUGCACCCUCCGUAUUACCGCGGCUGCUGGCAC